GCCGAAGUGGCGGAAUUGGUAGACGCGCAUGAUUCAGGGUCAUGUGGCCGCGAGGCUGUGUGGGUUCAAGUCCCACCUUCGGCACCA
rnacentral:tRNA from 1 species